AUAUCACAUUUGUAAAUUUGGCUAAACUACUCAAAAAUGAAGAAAAUUUUACAUUUUCUCUUGGAACUUGGUUCCUCGAAUAACUUCUGGCACAGACAUCUGAGGGCAUGGCCGUCCAAGAAGAAAAUGUAGCCAUUGGUGCCAUCUAUCGACCACAGGUUAAAGAUUGGCGAUCCGUUGGAUACCGACCGAGUUAUAGGCAAUACUUGGUGCAAAAAUGAGGAAAAUUUGACAUUCUCUCAAACAGGGUAAGGAACUUGGUUCCUCGAAUAACUUCUGGCACAGACAUCUGAGGGCAUGGCCGUCCAAGAAGAAAAUAUAGCAAUUGAUGCCAUCUAUCGACCACAGGUUAAAGAUUGACGAUCCGUUGGAUACCGACAGAGUUAUAGACAAAACUUGGUGCAAAAAUGAGCCUUAGUCAAUUUUCAUUUUUUUGAUUUUUUUGAUUUUUUUAUUAUUUUUCACUCUUUUUUUUAUUUAAAGCAUUACUUGAGUGAAAAGAAACACAUUGCAACCAAUUGGCAUUAAAAUAAAUCAAUUUAAUUUUUUUUGCAAAAUUUCCCAAAAAAAUGGCAAGGGGUACCCCUUAUGAAAUUUUCGAGUGUAAAUUUUUUUUAAAUUUUUUUCCGAUUUUUUAUUCUUUUUUGUGUUUAAAGCAUUAUUUGAGUGAAAAGAAACUUAUUGCAACUAAUUCGCAUUAAAAUAUAUCAAUUUUUUAAAUUUUGCUAAAUUGCUCAAAAAAUGGUAUGGAACUUGGUUCCUCGAAUAACUUCUGGCACAGACAUCUGAGGGCAUGGCCGUCCAAGAAGAAAAUGUAGCCAUUGAUGCCAUCUAUCGACCACAGGUUAAAGAUUGGCGAUCCGUUGGAUACCGACAGAGUUAUAGGCAAAACUUGGCGCAAAAAUGAGGAAAAUUUUCCAUUUUCACAACAGGGUAAGGAACUUGUUUCCUCGAAUAACUUCUGGCACAGACAUCUGAGGGCAUGGCCGUCCAAGAAGAAAAUGUAGCAAUUGAUGCCAUCUAUCGACCACAGGUUAAAGAUUGGCGAUCCGUUGGAUACCGACAGAGUUAUAGGCAAAACUUGGCGCAAAAAUGAGGAAAAUUUUCCAUUUUCUCAACAGGGUAAGGAACUUGGUUCCUCGAAUAACUUCUGGCACAGACAUCUGAGGGCAUGGCCGUCCAAGAAGAAAAUGUAGCCAUUGAUGCCAUCUAUCGGUCACAAGUUAAAGAUUGGCGAUCCGUUGGAUACCGACAGAGUUAUAGGCAAAACUUGGCGCAAAAAUGAGGAAAAUUUUACAUUUUCUCAACAGGGUAAGGAACUUGUUUCCUCGAAUAACUUCUGGCACAGACAUCUGAGGGCAUGGCCGUCCAAGAAGAAAAUGUAGCAAUUGAUGCCAUCUAUCGACCACAGGUUAAAGAUUGACGAUCCGUUGGAUACCGACAGAGUUAUAGACAAAACUUGGUGCAAAAAUGAGCCUUAGUCAAUUUUCAUUUUUUUUUAUUUUUUUUGAUUUCUUUAUUAUUUUUCACUCUUUUUUUUAUUUAAAGCAUUACUUGAGUGAAAAGAAACACAUUGCAACCAAUUGGCAUUAAAAUAAAUCAAUUUAUUUUUUUUUGCAAAAUUUCCCAAAAAAAUGGCAAGGGGUACCCCUUAUGAAAUUUUCGAGUGUAAAUUUUUUUUUUAAUUUUUUUCCGAUUUUUUAUUCUUUUUUGUGUUUAAAGCAUUAUUUGAGUGAAAAGAAACUUAUUGCAACUAAUUCGCAUUAAAAUAUAUCAAUUUUUUAAAUUUUGCUAAAUUGCUCAAAAAAUGGUAUGGAACUUGGUUCCUCGAAUAACUUCUGGCACAGACAUCUGAGAGCACGGCCGUCCAAGAAGAAAAUGUAGCCACUGAUGUCAUCUAUCGACCACAUGUUAAAGAUUGACGAUCCGUUGGAUACCGACAGAGUUAUAGGCAAAACUUGGCGCAAAAAUGAGGAAAAUUUUACAUUUUCUCAACAGGGUAAGGAACUUGUUUCCUCGAAUAACUUCUGGCACAGACAUCUGAGGGCAUGGCCGUCCAAGAAGAAAAUGUAGCAAUUGAUGCCAUCUAUCGAUCACAGGUUAAAGAUUGACGAUCCGUUGGAUACCGACAGAGUUAUAGGCAAAGGGGGGGGGGGGGGGGUAUGGAACUUGGUUCCUCGAAUAUCUUCUGGCACAGACAUCUGAGGGCAUGGCCGUCCAAGAAGAAAAUGUAGCAAUUGAUGCCAUCUAUCGACCACAGGUUAAAGAUUGACGAUCCGUUGGAUACCGACAGAGUUAUAGGCAAAACUUGGUGCAAAAAUGAGCCUUAGUCAAUUUUCAUUUUUUUGAUUUUUUUGAUUUUUUUAUUAUUUUUCACUCUUUUUUUUAUUUAAAGCAUUACUUGAGUGAAAAGAAACACAUUGCAACCAAUUGGCAUUAAAAUAAAUCAAUUUAUUUUUUUUUGCAAAAUUUCCCAAAAAAAUGGCAAGGGGUACCCCUUAUGAAAUUUUCGAGUGUAAAUUUUUUUUAAAUUUUUUUCCGAUUUUUUAUUCUUUUUCGUGUUUAAAGCAUUAUUUGAGUGAAAAGAAACUUAUUGCAACUAAUUCGCAUUAAAAUAUAUCAAUUUUUUAAAUUUUGCUAAAUUGCUCAAAAAAUGGUAUGGAACUUGGUUCCUCGAAUAACUUCUGGCACAGACAUCUGAGGGCAUGGCCGUCCAAGAAGAAAAUGUAGCCAUUGAUGCCAUCUAUCGGUCACAAGUUAAAGAUUGGCGAUCCGUUGGAUACCGACCGAGUUAUAGGCAAAACUUGGCGCAAAAAUGAGGAAAAUUUUACAUUUUCUCAAACAGGGUAAGGAACUUGGUUCCUCGAAUAACUUCUGGCACAGACAUCUUAGGGCAUGGCCGUCCAAGAAGAAAAUGUAGCCAUUGAUGCCAUCUAUCGACCACAGGUUAAAGAUUGACGAUCCGUUGGAUACCGACAGAGUUAUAGGCAAAACUUGGUGCAAAAAUGAGCCUUAGUCAAUUUUCAUUUUUUUGAUUUUUUUGAUUUUUUUAUUAUUUUUUACUCUUUUUUUUAUUUAAAGCAUUACUUGAGUGAAAAGAAACACAUUGCAACCAAUUGGCAUUAAAAUAAAUCAAUUUAAUUUUUUUUGCAAAAUUUCCCAACAAAAACGUAAGGGGUACCCCUUAUAAAAUUUUCAAGUUGAAAAUUUUUUUAAAACACAUUGCAACAAAUUUGAAUGAAAAUAUAUCACAUUUAUAAAUUUUGCUAAAUUGCUGAAAAAUGAGGAAAAUUUUACAUUUUCUCAAACAGGGUAUGGAACUUGGUUCCUCGAAUAACUUCUGGCACAGA